rnacentral:rRNA from 1 species
GCACCCGCACAAGCGGUGGAGCAUGCCGUUUAAUUCGAAAAUACGCGAAGAACCUUACCUAGACUUGACAUCCCCGGCAAAGCUAUAGAGAUAUAGUGGAGGUUACCCGGGUGACAGGUGGUGCAUGGUUGUCGUCAGCUCGUGUUAUGAAAUGUUCGGUUAAGUCCGCUAACGAGCGCAACCCCUAUCAUUAGUUGCUAACAUUUAGUUGAGAACUCUAAUGAGACUGCCGGUAAUAAACCGGAGGAAGGUGGGGAUGAGGUCAAAUCAUCAUGCCCCUUACGUCUAGGGCAACAGGCGUGCUACAAUGGCUGGUACAAAGAGUCGCAAUACCGCGAGGUGGAGCAAAUCUCAAAAGCCAGUCUCAGUUCGGAUUGAAGUCUGCAACUCGACUUCAUGAAGUUGAAAUCGCUAGUAAUCCCGAAUCAGAAUGUCGGGGUGAAUACGUUCCCGGGUGUU